rnacentral:piRNA from 1 species
GUAGACCAGGCUGGCAGAGAUCU